rnacentral:rRNA from 1 species
ACUCAAAGGAAUUGACGGGGGCCCGCACAAGCGGUGGAGCAUGUGGUUUAAUUCGACGCAACGCGAAGAACCUUACCUGGGCUCGAAAUGUACAGGACAGCGGUAGAAAUAUCGUCUCCCAGCAAUGGGUCUGUAUAUAGGUGCUGCAUGGCUGUCGUCAGCUCGUGUCGUGAGAUGUUGGGUUAAGUCCCGCAACGAGCGCAACCCUUAUCUCCAGUUGCUACCAUUUAGUUGAGCACUCUGGCGAAACCGCCUCGGAUAACGGGGAGGAAGGUGGGGAUGACGUCAAGUCCUCAUGGCCUUUAUGUCCAGGGCUACACACGUGCUACAAUGGCCGGUACAAACCGCUGCAACCCCGCGAGGGUGAGCUAAUCGGAAAAAGCCGGCCUCAGUUCGGAUUGGAGUCUGCAACUCGACUCCAUGAAGCUGGAAUCGCUAGUAAUCGUGGAUCAGCAUGCCACGGUGAAUACGUUCCCGGGCCUUGUACACACCGCCCGU